UACGUAGGGGGCAAGCGUUGUCCGGAUUUAUUGGGCGUAAAGGGUGCGUAGGCGGCGGGGCAAGUCUGAUGUGAAAUCCCGGGGCUCAACCCCGGAACUGCAUUGGAUACUGCCUUGCUUGAGUACUGGAGAGGAGACUGGAAUUUACGGUGUAGCAGUGAAAUGCGUAGAUAUCGUAAGGAAGGCCAGUGGCGAAGGCGAGUCUCUGGACAGUUCCUGACACUGAGGCACGAAGGCCAGGGGAGCAAACGGG
rnacentral:rRNA from 1 species